UACGUAGGUGGCAAGCGUUGUCCGGAUUUACUGGGCGUAAAGAGCGCGCAGGCGGUCGGAUAAGUCGAAUGUGAAAGCCCCUGGCUCAACCUGGGAGGGUCAUUCGAUACUGUUCGACUCGAAGGCAGGAGAGGGAAGUGGAAUUCCGGGUGUAGUGGUGAAAUGCGUAGAUAUCCGGAGGAAGACCAGUGGCGAAGGCGGCCCUCUGGACUGCACCUGACGCUGACACGCGAAAGCUAGGGGAACGAACGGG
rnacentral:rRNA from 1 species